rnacentral:rRNA from 1 species
GAUGAACGCUAGCGGCAGGCCUAACACAUGCAAGUCGAGGGAGGAGCUUUCGGGCUUCGACCGGCGUACGGGUGCGUAACGCGUAUACAAUCUGCCUUUCACAUAGGGAUAGCCCGAAGAAAUUUGGAUUAAUACCUAAUGGUAUAUAGGAGUGGCAUCACAUUUAUAUUAAAGCUGAGGCGGUGAAAGAUGAGUAUGCGUUCUAUUAGCUAGUUGGAGAGGUAACGGCUCCCCAAGGCGACGAUAGAUAGGGGUUCUGAGAGGGAUAUCCCCCACACUGGUACUGAGAUACGGACCAGACUCCUACGGGAGGCAGCAGUGAGGAAUAUUGGACAAUAGUCGGAAGACUGAUCCAGCCAUGCCGCGUGCAGGAAGACGGCCUUAUGGGUUGUAAACUGCUUUUGCAGGGGAAGAAUAAGGACUACGAGUAGUUUGAUGACGGUACUCUGCGAAUAAGCAUCGGCUAACUCCGUG